AUUGAACGCUGGCGGCAUGCUUUACACAUGCAAGUCGAACGGUAACAGGGGAGCUUGCUCCCGCUGACGAGUGGCGAACGGGUGAGUAAUGCAUCGGAACGUGCCGAAUAGUGGGGGAUAACGCACCGAAAGGUGUGCUAAUACCGCAUACGCCCUGAGGGGGAAAGUGGGGGACCGCAAGGCCUCACGCUAAUCGAGCGGCCGAUGUCGGAUUAGCUAGUUGGUGGGGUAAAGGCUCACCAAGGCGACGAUCCGUAGCGGGUCUGAGAGGAUGAUCCGCCACACUGGGACUGAGACACGGCCCAGACUCCUACGGGAGGCAGCAGUGGGGAAUUUUGGACAAUGGGGGAAACCCUGAUUCAGCCAUGCCGCGUGUCUGAAGAAGGCCUUCGGGUUGUAAAGGACUUUUGUCCGGGAGGAAACCCUGAUCGUUAAUAGCGGUCGGGACUGACAGUACCGGAAGAAUAAGCACCGGCUAACUACGUGCCAGCCGCCGCCGUAACAC
rnacentral:rRNA from 1 species